rnacentral:rRNA from 1 species
UACAGAGGUGGCAAGCGUUGUUCGGAUUUACUGGGCGUAAAGGGUGCGUAGGCGGUCUUGUGUGUCGGAUGUGAAAUCCCACGGAUCAUCCGUGGAACUGCAUUCGAAACUGCAGGGCUGGAGUGCAGGAGAGGAAGGUGGAAUUCUCGGUGUAGCGGUGAAAUGCGUUGAUAUCGAGAGGAACGCCGGAGGCGAAGGCGACCUUCUGGACUGCAACUGACGCUGAGGCACGAAAGCUAGGGGAGCAAACAGG